GAUGUAGCUCAGUGGUAGGGCACUUGCCUGGCAUGCAGGCAUGGGUUCAAUCCCCUAAAACA
rnacentral:tRNA from 1 species